GGCGCUGCCGGUGGAAGGUCCAAGGCCACACGCUCCGCUCCCCCGGGAAGCCCACGCGACCCGGUGUGCAGAGCGGCUGCUCCUGACCUCGCGCUGUUCGGGUCCUCGAGGUCACAAACCCAGGCUGUCCCGCCCCCACACCCUGCUUUGUCCUUGGGCGGGAGGAAGCUCCUGAGCCCCUGGGAAGGCCUGGUGCGUGCAUCUCCUCUGCGCAGGUGCAGGGGUGGGGGCAGGUGCAGCUCCGGGGGACACCGCAGGUGGGCGGGGGGCGGGCGCAGCCGUUGGCUUUCGCUGAUCGUGGGAGACUCGUCUAACAUCUCACCUCCUCGGGUUGUCCUCCAAGAACCAGCGAGGUUCGCAUGGCUGCUCCCCACAGAAAGGGGACCGAACAGGACAAGACAGGCUGUGAGGCCAGGCCCAGAAGUCGCUGAAGCCCAAGACAGCCCCCGAGAUGUGCACCAGGAAAGCGCUGCUUUCCUCUCCCCCUGUAAGGGGUGCAGGCAGCUGCUGAGAACUGAGCAGUAAAGCUAAGCAGACUUGGGAGAAUAUGUAUUUCAGUGUUUUUUACAUUAUGCCAUUGACUAACAAGCCACCUGGAACAUCUGUUUCUAGCUCUGAAAUCGUUUGCAGAAAACAUUCUGGCAAAUGCUCUGCUCCUAGAGCUCUCCUCUGCCCUCAAGCCACCCACACCCCCACCUCUGGGACCACAGGAAAACCAAGGCAAAGGUGACCCACCUAUUGCUGAAGAUUAACUGAGCAAGGUUCCAUUGACUAAGUGUAACGACUGUAGAAGUUACCAUUAAUUCACACCUAAGCGGAAUGCAAUCAUACCAGGAAAUAGAUUUAAGUUUGCCUCCUUGACAUUAUGGGUUUCUCUCCUUUAUGCAGAAUAUCAUACAUCUUGUACGAGAGCCAUGCUUUCCUCCCUAGCCGUGGAUAUAUUGCUAUGGCAUUAGCUUUUCCCCUCGUCUUUGCAAAUAGAGAAGUCUCUCCCCCCUCCAGUUUUUAAGCCCUUUUAUCCCUUCUUGUUGUGAAGGUCAUCAUCUACCUAGAAUAGAAUGACAGGCCUGGGACCAUGCCUGGCUAAGAGAGAAAUAACACUUUCACUUCCAGUUGCAAAGUAUACCUAUAGGAUUAAUAUUUCCCUCAUGCUAUUUACAUAAUGGUAUGAAAGAAUCAAAUUUACAAAGGGUGCUCAGUCCCUGAGAGGCUGGAAGGGUGAGAGAUGUCUCUCUGGCUUAAGAGGAGCCCACGGUUAGCAAACCACCUCUGAUAAGUUCCCCUUCCAGCAUGAUUGGCACCCUAAAAGACACACACACACACCACUUUCACAUGCAUCAGUCAGAAAAACGAGUUGACAACUUGCAUUUGAAUGAUAGCAUCAGAACAUUCAAUAACAAACAAUAGUAGCUACUCCCAUUUGCUUUGGAUAUUGCCCGGUUGUUGUAUUGUUUUCCACUGUGGUUCCAGAUUCUUCACCUUGGCCCACAUCUUCACUGCCCCUCCAUAUGUCCUUCCCCAAGUC
rnacentral:lncRNA from 1 species